rnacentral:tRNA from 1 species
CCUGGUGGCUCAAUAGUAGAGAAUCUGCCUGCAACGCAGGAGAUCCAGGUUCAAUCCCUGGGUCAGGA